AGCAGUUGCGUUGGGGCAUGAAUGGUGUGUGUGUACUUGAAUAGCUUUCACCUGUUUAUGUGGCAUUGCAAUUGCAUUUGUGUAGGGCUAUAUAGACUUGUUGACUUGUGUUGAGAUCGAUAAAAUGGAUAGAAAUUGUGUAAGAUGUUACGAGACUGAAAUGAACUUGAUUACUUUUGGACUUCCUAGAACCAUGAGUUGGGUAUGUGUGAGCCUUCUAGAUCUUGUGCGAUGUGAUGGUUGAUGGUAGUUUACUAGUUUCUCUUCUCUAACUGUUGUAGUAGUUGGAAAUUGCAUGUUUUAAGAAUAUGCAUAUUUGUGGAAAGUUAUCGAUUGAAGUUUUCUCUAUGUAUUUGCUUAUGUUUUGCACCAUUAUGUUUGGUGUCUAUUUGGUGUUGUCCUAAGUGGUAAAACUUGAAUUGAUAGUGUAUCCAAUGUGUGCAUGAUAAGUGAUAUGUUGACUGCUAUGUGAAACUCAUUUUUCUUGGACUUGAGGAUCUACUUCCGGAUAUUCAGUUUGAAGUGCGGCUGGCCACCGCGACUUCAAGAUUGAAUACCUAGAAUAGAAGCUUUUUGAACAAGAUAAAAGAAAAUGAUUUACCUUCUGCCGUGGAACUGGAUAAGGAUAGAUCAUGUGACGCUAUAGUUAAAGAUUUGUAUCCCUUUGACGAUUUUAUACUUUUAAACGUGGAACCAUUCUGUUGUGAAGACUAUGCAUGUCUAAGUCCCUCUGCUUACUAGUCUUCUGUAAGUAAGUGUCUUUGUAUCCUAUUGAGAAUUAAGAACAGUGAAACAAAAUGAUUAAAUCCUUUAAAAUUGCCAUACUUUCCUUCAUGAGAUUGAGUUGGUAUAUGUGUUCCUGAAAUUUGGAGAUGCAAUGACAUGGCUUGAUGAUGUUAUUUGAUUAAUAAGAACUCGUGUGAGAGUAUGAUAGAGUUUAAUGUCAUGUUGACGCUACGCCAUGAAGAAUGUUGAACUUAGGAUUAAGCCUUGAAAGGAACGCUUGGUUAUGAGGAAACAUGAUGGAGUUGUUCUAAUGUGAGGAUUUGAGCUACAAGGGAAGAGAAAGAGAUAUGUGGAUAACGAGAGAUGAAAUGGAGGGAAGUAUUCGGACUUGAUUUUAUUGUGAUCGGUGUAGAUUUCUUGAAUCUAGAUUUCAUGGUGGCUAACUUGUUGAACCUUCCCUGAUGUUGUGCUAUUUGUUGUGACGGUUGUGUUGUGUAAUUCAGUUGUUUCACGACUUGUUAACUUGGUUAUAAAUUUCGAGGACGAAAUUUCUUUAAGGAGGGUAGGAUGUAGAGACCCAUAAUUAUUUUCUCAAAUUUUAAAUGUUUAAUAUGUAUUUGGAUUAUCAAAGUGUGUAUAACAAUGUGGACAUGAGUUGGGUCAAUGUGAGAUGACUUGUAAGUUGUGGGAGUUGACGUGAUACAAUAGGAGUGAAAGGGUGAAAGUGUUAUUUGUGCUAUAUAAGUCAAAAAAAAAAAAAGGGGAGCAGGAGAUUAUUUUUCUCUCUUUUCCUUUCCUUUCUUUUCUUCUUCUCCGGCAUCUCUCUCGGCUCUCACCUCUCUCACCUUCUCUCUUCGAUUUCAUCGACCACGAGUGAGACUUUUGAAAAAUCCCAAGUACUAAAGUUGUUCUACGCGACGAGAGCUUCCUAUCCAUCGAAGAAAAUUCACGAUCGGAGCACUUCGAAGUUUCCUCCAUGUUCGGGCUUGCUUCUAACCUUCGAGGUACUCGUCAUGGCACUUAGCUUGGAUUGCAUGGAGUGCAUAUUGAGACGUCUCUUGGGAGCUUCAUUGGAAUCAUUAAGGAGGUGUUUUAUCAUCUAGUCAAAUUCAUGUUGUGUACUUUACUCACAAUUGAAGGUUGUAUCUUUUGGUUAGAACAUAUGUAAAGCUAGGUAUAAACUCCUCUCUUUGAUUAUUGUGAAGCCCUUUUUAUGGACUACGUUUGGGAGACUUUAUGUAAAAAAAAAAAAAAAAAAAAAGUUUAGAGAGAAGAAGAAGAAGAGACUGUGAUUCUUUGUUUGGAUUGGCUUGACAUUUAAUGGUAAAUAUAGUUGAGGAAAAA